AUGGACACCGGCGAGCAAGCCGGCGAGGAGUCGUCGGCGAACCGCCGGGAGCGCCUCCUCGCCCUCCGCUCCUCCGCCGCCGCCGCUGCCGCUUCCUCCACCUCCUCCUCGCCAUCUGCCGCGCCGCCGCCGCCCGCGUGGGAUCUCCCGGAGCCCGACCUGGCGCCCACCUCCUCGGCCCCGCGCCCGCGCUCGCGGUUCGACUUCUACACCAACCCCGGCGCGGCCUUCUCCUCCGCCACCGCCGCCGUCCCGCAGAAGCGCAAGAACGCCGACCCCCCGGGCCCCAAUCCCGCCCCGGCCCCGCCUCACGGGAACUAUGGUAACAAUUAUCCUCCUCCACACCAGCACCAUAUGGCCCAAUCUCCGAUGGAAGGUGCGCCAGGGAAUAGUCCAUGGAGAAGUCCUAUGCAGUUCCAGACUCCUAUGUCUGGAUACCGAGGAACACCUCCUGGACCUCCACCUCACUGGAACUCACAUUCUGCUUCUCCAGCUCAAGAUCCGUAUCCACAUCAAACCAACUUUGGGUUCAGAGGCCCUAAUGUUGGCCGAGGGGGCAGCCCGAUGAAUUAUGGACCAGGAGGUAGCCCGAUGAAUUACGGACCAAGAGGUAACCCGAUGAAUUACGGACCAGGGGGUAGCCCGAUGAGUUACGAACCAAGAGGAAGCCCGAGGAGUUAUGUACCAAGAGGUAGCCCGCACUCGUCUUCCGGACGUGGCAGGGGCGAGAACUACUACCACAGCCCAGGUUCGAGAGGAAGAGGGGGAAGGGGUGGCUUCCAGAACCAUUCUGGAUCGCAAGAUCAGAGGAACUUCUACAGGAAGUCCAUGGUGGAUGAUCCUUGGCAGGGCUUGCAACCUAUCGUUGGCAGCAUACUGCCCAUCGAUGACGCCAAUUCCUGGCUUCCAGAGUCAUUGUGCAAAAAGGAGACACCUAAUCAAGGCAGGGGCGAGAACUACUACCACAGCCCAGGUUCGAGAGGAAGAGGGGGAAGGGGUGGCUUCCAGAACCAUUCUGGGUCGCAAGAUCAGAGGAACUUCUACAGGAAGUCCAUGGUUGAUGAUCCUUGGCAGGGCUUGCAGCCUAUCGUUGGCAACAUACUGAAACCCAUCGAUGGCGCCAAGUCCUGGCUUCCAGAGUCAUUGCGCAAAAAGGAGACACCUAAUCAAGGCCGAACAAUUUCAAAUCCAACAUCAGGGUUGAGUCUGGCAGAAUACCUCACCUCGUCUUUCAACGAGGCUUCUGACGAGUCUAAUGAGACGUGA
rnacentral:rRNA from 1 species